UACGUAGGGAGCAAGCGUUGUCCGGAAUCAUUGGGCGUAAAGCGCACGUAGGUGGCCAUGUAAGUCCGCUGUGAAAGUCAAAGGCUCAACCUUUGAAAGCCGGUGGAUACUGCAUGGCUAGAGUACGGAAGAGGCGAGUGGAAUUCCUGGUGUAGCGGUGGAAUGCGCAGAUAUCAGGAGGAACACCAAUAGCGAAGGCAGCUCGCUGGGACGUUACUGACACUGAGGCGCGAAAGCGUGGGGAGCAAACAGG
rnacentral:rRNA from 1 species